rnacentral:lncRNA from 1 species
CCUUUGCCCUCCAUCCCCUGCCCUGCACCCACUGUGCACUCCUCCUGUGUCCCCCCGCCAAGCUGCAGCCCUUUUUCCUUCCCCCCCUUGCCGUCCCGCUCCCCUCCAUAUCCCUUAGCUGCAGCCGUGUUCACCUCCUCUUCUCAGCGCCCCCAGUUUGCAGCCCACUGCUCCCGUCUUUCCUCAUCCCCUUGCAUCCCUCACGCCGCUCCUGUGAUGCUUCAAACGGGGAGCCGCAGACUCCCCAGUCUUUGCCAAAGCAGAUACCUGCUGGGCUCGGACACCCCCGGGAGAGACCGGCUCCGUGUCGGUGCCAGGCGUCGCCAGGCCCGGAGCGAGGCGCGGAGGGGGCAGGCAGGUGGCGGAGGCGCAGGUAUUUGUAUCUGUGAGCAAGUGAGCGAGGUUCCCCGUUCUGCGAGCAUGCGGCUCUGCGGAGCUGGUGACACCUCCCUCGCUCGUAGGGACGCUCGCCGCCGGGGCUCUGCGGCGUGCCGAGGCUGCCUGCGCCCUGCUGCCCUGCAAAGGGUGGUGCGGCGGCCGGAGCUGCAGCGUCUUCACCCCGAGUCAAGCCUUGCAAUUGCAUUGCAGCGGGAUUGUGAGGUCUUGUUCAGAUUCAACUGAAGCUGGUUGAACUCUAUUGACUGCAGUGGCUUGGAUGGUGGGCAGUGCAUCUCUCAGGUCAGUUCAGGUUUUCAUGUCCUUUGUUUCAAAAUUUCUGCACAUGGAAUUAGUUUAUUCAAUUUGCAGCUUAGAGCAAUUUCAGAAGAAAUCCCAGAGGAGGAAAAAAAGAACACUACCACCUGAACAGAUCAAAAUAAUCAAACGGGUUGUGUUGUGGAACUGAGAUGUGACUGGCAGCUGCUGCGUGGAGGUGGACAACCAGCAGUCACACUUUCUUAGCAUGGCUUGCUCUGCUGGGGCAUUGGGAGCAAGUACUGUCGGGAUUAGAGUGCAAAGAGAUAAUGUUUAAAAUCUGAGGUAGGAGCUGGUGAACUUAGUGACAACUGAAUGCUGGGGUGGAAGAAAAAACUCUGCCAACAGUAAGUCACCCUUUCAGGGAGCUGAAUUAAACUUCUCAUUUCCUUCUGAACUCUUCAGUUCAGUCCCACCAUGGGUGAACGUUGUGCAGUCUCUUCCAUGCUUUUUUCCCCCUGUUUGAUUUGAGGGCCCUUUGUAGCAACUUAUCCCCUAUGCACCCUGGUAUCAGGGAAGUUAUUCUGCCUGCAAUCCCCAUCUGAGCUUAAUUUUGUUGUUCUCCAUAGCAUGAGGACUGAUGGCUUCACAAAUCUCAUAAUACCUCCUCCAUCUCUCCCCUGGCCAGCCCAGCAGCAUGACAGCUUCAUUUAACAUGCACUGUCUCCUUUGGCUUCCUGUCCCUAGACUCAUUAUUUUGCAGGCGUCUGUAUCAAGCUCCUGUGUUGCCUGCCCAAAAGGAUUGUAUAUCAGAAGUAAUGAAAAGGAGAAGAGUCCUCAAGGCUGGCCUGUAAAUCCCAAGUCUGUUUACUAGAAGAAAUUGCAGUUCUCUCCCAUGUCCUUGACCCAGCCCUGUUGCAUGUGUUCAUUCUUCCCUGCCUGUCAUGGUGCAUCUCUUGAUGAGCACCAAGUGAGCCUUGCAGGCUCUCUGGGUUCUCGCGGCACGAAGUGUUUGGUCCCUGGGAUGUUCUCCUUUAUUCACCUGCUAACACAGAGGCAGGCUGAGACCUGAAGAGGUGCCUUCUCUUCAGCCAUCCCCCAAAAUAAUUUGGAUUCACCUAGAACAUCAUUACAGGGAAGGUGUUGUGAAGUUUUCUUGAUGGUAAACACUUAAGGGCUGGGGCCUCUCAUCUCCCACUUGAAGUGUAGUGUUACCCUCGGGCCCUAGAGACUGAAGUGUUUUCAUGUUAGCUGCAGGGUGAGAUAGUCUCUCUCUGAAAAGCUUACCAGUUAAGUGCAAGAUAGGGAACAUCAGGGUGCAAUUCCCCUGUCCAGAUGUUGGCAUCUAACAUCUCAGUCCCCCUAUAGAUGGAGCAGAGGAAAUGAGUACUUCCACCUCAUUGUAAUGCAGGUGGAUUCCUGUAACAGAUCAGACAGACUGUGCCUGUCUCUGUUCAUUGAUGAUAGAGAGGCUCUGGAUGAUGAGCACUUGUGGACAUAUCUUUGCUGUAGGUGAGAUGAGCCCCACCUUGACUAGCUGCACUGAGCAUGUUGGGGUAGCACAAAAAGGAGGCAAGACUGUUGAAUGUGGUCUGUCCUUGGCUGUCUGAUCUGGUAAGCAUGUUCAUCUUCCUUUGCUCAAGAACCCACCCUUCACUUUGAUUCCUUGCUGGCCAAGAGUGGAGGAGAGUGGUGUCAUCCAGACAGCAACUGGAAGACCGUAUUAAACAUUUCUCAGAGGUGCUCCUAGGACUGAGCUCCAAUCCUGUCCCAGCUGUGGACCAAGAGAUAUUUUAGCCAAGUGAAGGCAGAAACUGUAGGUAUGAAUGGAACAGAUUUGUCCUUGGUUCAUCCUUUCAUACUGAAGCCAAGUAGCUGCUAACAUAGGUCAAGGAUUACUUGGGUACUUCUCAGGAGCUCCUGACCUCCUGCAUGUAUCCAAACAGGUAUCGUAUUGGAGUGGGGGAAGACUUGAGACCUCUAAAUCUAGAGCUGAAACAAUGGUAUGGGCACUUCAGAUUGCAAACCAGCAGGUGAUAGCAGCAGGAGCCCUCCAGAGUGUCAAAAGGGCUGCACGUCUGGGUGUUCCAGGCUUGGUGGGUAGAACUCUUUCUGUUAGGGGAAAAAGGCUUUUUCCUAACACUGAAGCACUGCUAAAUGCUAUAUUGUGGCUUAUUGAGGAUGAUGGAGUGAAUUUCUGUAUGUUGUAUCCCAUUUGACCUGAACCUUCAUGGUUUCUCUGAAGACCCCGACGUGGUCUACAGGGAGCAGCUUGGAGGAGGCCUAGAGCUGUUCUUGAAGGAACUAAAAAAAUGAAGUUAAGCCAACAGAAAGGAAUAAAGCCUGACACCCUGGGGAGGAUUUUCUUGAC